CCUACGGGUGGCAGCAGUGGGGAAUAUUGCACAAUGGGGGAAACCCUGAUGCAGCGACGCCGCGUGAGUGAAGAAGUAUUUCGGUAUGUAAAGCUCUAUCAGCAGGGAAGAAAAUGACGGUACCUGACGAAGAAGCCGCGGCUAACGACGUGCCAGCAGCCGCGGUAAUACGGAGGGGGCAAGCGUUAUCCGGAUUGACUGGGGGUCAAGGGAGCGGAGACGGCCAGACAAGUCAGAAGUGAAAGCCCAGGGCUCCACCCUGGGACUGCUUUUGAAACGGCCGGGCUGGAGUGCAGGAGAGGUCAUCGGACUUCCUCGUGUAGCGGUGCAAUGCGUCGAUAUUAGGAGGCACACCAGUGGCGUAGGCGGCUUCCUGGACUGUAACUGCCGUUGCUGCUCG
rnacentral:rRNA from 1 species